GCCCUGGCCUAGAGGUGGCACUCUCGCCUCACAAUUAGGAGGCUGUAAGUUGGAUCCUAGGUAGAGGCGAAUGUUUGGAAUAGACUCUCCUGCUGGAGCAGGGGGUUGGACUAGAUGGCCUCCAAGGUCCCUUCCAACUCUUAUUCCAUGAAAGCC